rnacentral:rRNA from 1 species
AGCUCCAAUAGCGUAUAUUAAAGUUGUUGCGGUUAAAAAGCUCGUAGUUGGAUUUCUGUCGAGGACGGUCGGUCCACACUUUGUGUGAGUAUCUGAUUCGGCCUUGGCAUCCUCCUGGGGAACGUUUCUGCGCUUGAUUGCGUGGAGCGGAAUUCAGGACUUUUACUUUGAGGAAAUUAGAGUGUUCACGGCAGGCAAACGCCUUGAAUAUAUUAGCAUGGAAUAAUAAUAUAGGACCUUUGUUCUAUUUUGUUGGUUUCUAGAGCGAAGGUAAUGAUUAAUAGGGAUAAUUGGGGGCAUUUGUAUUAACGCGUCAGAGGUGGAAUUCUUGGAUUGCGUUACGACAAACUACUGCGAAAGCAUUUGCCAAGGAUGUGU